GACGAACGCUGGCGGCGUGCCUAAUACAUGCAAGUCGAGCGAAGUUUUUCUGGUGCUUGCACCGGAAAAACUUAGCGGCGAACGGGUGAGUAACACGUAAAGAACCUGCCUCAUAGACUGGGACAACUAUUGGAAACGAUAGCUAAUACCGGAUAACAGCAUUAACUGCAUGGUUGAUGUUUAAAAGUUGGUUUUGCUAACACUAUGAGAUGGCUUUGCGGUGCAUUAGCUAGUUGGUGGGGUAAAGGCCUACCAAGGCGACGAUGCAUAGCCGACCUGAGAGGGUGAUAGGCCACACUGGGACUGAGACACGGCCCAGACUCCUACGGGAGGCAGCAGUAGGGAAUCUUCCGCAAAGGGCGAAAGCCUGACGGAGCAACGCCGCGUGAGUGAAGAAGGAUUUCGGUUCGUAAAGCUCUGUUGUUAGGGAAGAAUGAUUGUGUAGUAACUAUACACAGUAGAGACGGUACCUAACCAGAAAGCCACGGCUAACUACGUG
rnacentral:rRNA from 1 species